rnacentral:rRNA from 1 species
GAUGUGGAUUAAUUCGAUGCAACGCGAAAACCUUACCUACCCUUCGACAUGUUCAGAAUCCUGAAGAGAUUUGGGAGUGCCGAAAGGGAGCUGGAACACAGGUGCUGCAUGGCUGUCGUCAGCUCGUGUCGUGAGAUGUUGGGUUAAGUCCCGCAACGAGCGCAACCCUUGUCGUUAAUUGCCAUCAUUAAGUUGGGGCACUUUAACGAGACUGCCGGUGACAAACCGGAGGAAGGUGGGGAUGACGUCAAGUCCUCAUGGCCCUUAUGGGUAGGGCUUCACACGUCAUACAAUGGUCGGUACAGAGGGUUGCCAAGCCGCGAGGUGGAGCCAAUCCCAGAAAGCCGAUCGUAGUCCGGAUUGUAGGCUGCAACUCGCCUGCAUGAAGUCGGAAUCGCUAGUAAUCGCGGAUCAGCAUGUCGCGGUGAAUACGUUCCCGGGUCUU